rnacentral:tRNA from 1 species
GACUGAUGUAAAUAAAUGUAUUACUUCUGGUCCGGGCUCAUAAUGCUGAGGUCGGUGGUUCGAGUCCACCCAUAGCCACCA